CCCAGAAGAAGCUGAGUCUACAAGAUCAAGCUGAAGCUGAUGCUGAAAGAUGAGGAUAUCCUAUGCACUCUUCUCUCUUCUGCUCCUGCUAGUCUCAGCUGAGUUUAGCCAUGCCAGGGCAAUCCAUGGGGCCAAUGCGGCGAGGAUUCCAGAGCACACGUGCCACAAGCUGCUAAGCAUGAACAGAUGUGACUUGCAGAAAUGUAACCAGGAGUGUUCCCAGGAACCUCUAGGGGUAGGAGAGUGUAGGAAUACCAACUGUUCUUGCACAUAUUAUUGCAAGCAACCUCCAACGUAAUACAUUCCCAUACUGCUGUGUCACAACGCCGGAGUUUGUAUUCAGGCACGUACAUAAUACACAUUUAGAUCUAGGGCAUCAUCAUGGUGGCAUAAGAUAAGUCUUCACUCAUAUGUAAAGGGAUGCAGUAUUUUGGUACAAAAUCAGCGAAAUGUUUUUUGAUUUU